GCUCGCAUGGCUCAACUGGAUAGAGCAUUGGACUUCGGUUCAGGGGUUGUAGGUUCAAAUCCCGCUGCGAGCC
rnacentral:tRNA from 2 species